rnacentral:rRNA from 1 species
UGAGCAAUCUGCCCUUCUCAUCGGAAUAAGCGUUGGAAACGACGUCUAAUGCCGAAUACGACCUCCUUUCGCAUGAUCGGAGGUGGAAAGCUCCGGCGGAGAAGGAUGAGCUCGCGGCCUAUCAGCUAGUUGGUGUGGGUAAUGGCCCACCAAGGCGACGACGGGUAGCCGGCCUGAGAGGGCGACCGGCCACACUGGGACUGAGACACGGCCCAGACUCCUACGGGAGCAG